rnacentral:rRNA from 1 species
AUUGAACGCUGGCGGCAUGCCUUACACAUGCAAGUCGAACGGCAGCACGGGAGCAAUCCUGGUGGCGAGUGGCGAACGGGUGAGUAAUAUAUCGGAACGUGCCCAGUCGUGGGGGAUAACGUAGCGAAAGCUACGCUAAUACCGCAUACGAUCUAUGGAUGAAAGCGGGGGAUCGCAAGACCUCGCGCGAUUGGAGCGGCCGAUAUCAGAUUAGGUAGUUGGUGGGGUAAAGGCUCACCAAGCCAACGAUCUGUAGCUGGUCUGAGAGGACGACCAGCCACACUGGAACUGAGACACGGUCCAGACUCCUACGGGAGGCAGCAGUGGGGAAUUUUUGGACAAUGGGCGCAAGCCUGAUCCAGCAAUGCCGCCGUGCAGGAUG